rnacentral:lncRNA from 1 species
CUCAAUGGACUGAGACAUGCUACCAUACAGAAUUUCAGUUAUCAGUGGGCAGUUGGGGGAAUUCUUCCAACAGCCUCAGAAUGUCCGCUUUUCCCCAUUGGGCUUAAGAGGGAAGUUGAGAGAGGGCUUCCGAGUACAGUCCUAUGAGCAAAAACUCAGACAUCUUUGAGCGAUAGAAGAGACAACUGGGCCGGGGGCCAGUUCAGUGCGGACCUACAUUUCAACCACCAUGAUGAAGAUGGGGCCUCCACGUGAAAAGUAACUACAAAACAGAACCAGAAAAUAGUCAUGCUGUUCAAGACACUGAAAUUAGAAACAUGGCUCGAAUUAUGCUUGCACUGAACAAGGCUAGUCUAAGUGCUUGAAGACAUCAAAUUGCAGUUGAAGUAACGGCAGAGGGAAAAGCAAGGGCAACAACAACAAACCACUUCACUCCUCUGGGUGGAAACAUGCAAUUGUACCAAGAGGGAUAAGGAAAAAACUGCUCAUGUUUGCAGAAAGAAGUUGGAAUAAGGGCGUGAAAGCAGGCGGGCUACUUUAGCAUCUGAUGCCAGGGAUAUGAGAGAGUAGCCCAGUGUGUUCAUUCAAAAAGUAAGGCUCUGAGGCCAGGACCAGGAAAGAUCCUGGAGUCCCCAGUCACAAUGGCAUGAAGCAGGAUGAUGCAGAGAGGCUAAGGGGGUGAUUCAGUGGGUUCUUUACCUAUAAAAAUGAUGGAAACCCCAACAUCAGCUGGGCAAGUGGCCCUGUUCAGAGCUCCUGGACUCGCCAUGACUAAAACACUCUGUUUUAUUUCGUAGUUGAUAUCUAUUGUUCUUGCCUCCCAGCAAGCAAUGGAACAGCACCUUUACUUUCCUUUGAGAAAC